CAGCAGAUCCCCGGCAUUCACUAAGUUGAAAAAAGCCGUUUCAGCUGUUUGUGAGCAACCUGAAAUCAAUGAGUUCAAGGUGACAGACCUGCAGUCUUCCCUGCUAAAGUCCUUGAAAAUGACAAAGGAAAAGGACUGUAGCUUCUUGUCACUCAAAGCAUGAUCCAGAUCCCACAGCACGGACGUCACCUUUGAACUUGGUAGAAAUGCAGAAGCUCAGACUCCUGUCCAGACGUAUGACUCAGAACCUGCAUUUUUAACUAGAUCCCAGGCCCAGUGGAAGUACGAAGGGACACGAAGGGGCACAUUCUUCUCUCCCGCCCCCGCCAUUCCCCAGUCCUCAUUCCAGCCAGCAGGACACGUGACAAGGCUCUGUGCAGGCUUCUUGGCCAUGGUUUCUGUUUCUCUUUGUCACAGGGUCACAGAGGACCUCUAUGCCUGCCCUGGGGCCAGAUACUGUAGGAGUUGGGCAGAGUAUGCCGUAUUUCCCUAGGACAGCGGAACAGAAGGAAAGAAAGGAAGAUUUAUACUCUUUGGUCUCCUCCCUCCCUUCUUCUCCUCCCUCCCGGGAUAACAGGCAGCCCCAGCAUUUGACUGAGCUCCUUGUUUAAUGCUGCCACAUCUCUGCUAGUGACCGAAUGUUUCUCCCUCAAUAUUCCCUUUAUACAAGAUGAUGUGAUGUGUGUUUGUUGCUAAUAUUAGAUUUGCAACAGAUGCCCUCAUUGUUGGGGCCUGGGUACAUGUGGAGCAGAUUCCUAAAGCAAAGACAAAGCCCUCAAAUGCCCAGUGACUUUAAUAGCAGAACUUGCUGCCAUAGGCAGGGGGCUCCCACCAUGUUGGGCAAGGUGAAGGGGACAGGCCAAUAAGAGCCUCAGGAACUACGUCAUCAGUCUAGAAGCCACUGGAAAUACAGGCAGAGCUCUUGGGGGGAGCAGGCAGCAUAACGCAUGAAGAGGAGGCAUCUUCACGUGGAGACAAGCACCCAGAUGAGAAAAUUGAGGCAUAGAGACGUUCAACAAUCUUCCCAAGGUCACACAGUCCGUAAGAGGAGCCGGCAUUUGAACCCAGACAAUCGAAAUCCAGAGUUCAAGCUCAUAACCAUUACACUCUUCUUAUAAAUAUGGAAAGCCAAAAAAAAAGUUUCAGAAAAAUUAUGUUUUAAAUUUUUAUUUAUUAUUUUUUAUUGAGGCGUAUCAGAAAAAUUAUUUAAAACAUUUCUAUGCAUGAAGGUCUUCAAAGUUAUUCCCGCCUGAAGUAAUCCUUUAACAUCUGGACAAAUAUCCAAGAGACAGUUGAACAUCCCAGAGGUGCUCAGUAGUUCUUUGGGCCAGGCAAUUUUUUUAGUGCAGGCUCACAGGGAGAGAAGGCUUUUGCUGAAAGCUACGGACAGAUUAUGGAUUGGCCUGGGUGUGAGUGCAGAGGCGCAAGAGGACCUGGUCUGAAAACUCUUCUCCUGUGAGAAGAGAGUCAGUGGGAGAGAAAGCGGACCAGAGGCAAUCAACCAGAGAGAGAGCAGUGAACAACAAUGGGCCAUGUAUCACACAGAAAGAUGCUGCUAAAGACAGCCUUCCCCUGGAAUCAGCAUUCAGCAAAAACUUUAAUUAGCUCAAGGCACUCCCACCCGGUAGUAUGUUCCAGAAUCUUGGUGCGAGGACAUUUGUAAUUUGCAAAAGUAAGUUCAAUAUUACAAGAUAAUUUUAUUUUUGGAAGGCAAACAAACAAAAGGAACCUCUAUUGUUUUAUACCAUAAACUAAAGGAAAUAAAGUUAGAUAAAAUCUUC
rnacentral:lncRNA from 1 species